rnacentral:rRNA from 1 species
UACGAAGGGGGCUAGCGUUGUUCGGAUUUACUGGGCGUAAAGCGCACGUAGGCGGAUCGAUCAGUCAGGGGUGAAAUCCCAGGGCUCAACCCUGGAACUGCCUUUGAUACUGUCGAUCUGGAGUAUGGAAGAGGUGAGUGGAAUUCCGAGUGUAGAGGUGAAAUUCGUAGAUAUUCGGAGGAACACCAGUGGCGAAGGCGGCUCACUGGUCCAUUACUGACGCUGAGGCGCGAAAGCGUGGGGAGCAAACAGG